GUGUGGGCGACGCUGGAUCCUCUCUCUGGCUGCCAUCGAACAGCAGAAGUGAAGGCAGAGUCUGUGUAUGUGGACACUCACUAUUUGCCCUCUCUUCAGUUCCUCUUGUCUGUCCUCCACAAGCAGAGACUCACUGAUAGACCACUGUUACCAGUUUUAGUGUUGACACAUCCACCCACGUCCCCACCACAAGUGUAUCCUGUACAGACACAGAACAUUGAGAAAAAAAGAGAUGCUGUUGUCUGCUGCCUCAUUAACUACCUCGGUGAAAGACAAGAAGAUCUUUUCCAUGACUGCCAGGAAUGUGAGGACUACACAGACAAAACGAUGAAGGUGAUUGUGAAGCACAAUGUCAUGGCUGAGGAGGAUCCAUCAGAUUUGUCUAUUGUGAUCGAGGGAAACCAAGUGAUGGAAGGAUGUGGAAGCCAAACAAAGGCAUGCAUAAUGCUGAUGGGACUCAUUUAUGCAAUCAACAUCAAAUAUCCAAAGGAGCUGAAGAACAUGUUUGAAGCUUUUCAAAAACUUUUUUUGGAAAUUGAUGGGGCAAAACUACUGAAAAAGGUCCACAGCCUCAAAAAUAAGCUCAUGCAGUAAACACACAUUUCCCCUGUUGUUCGAAGAGGAUCUUUUGUCUGGACAUACUUUUAAUGGAGUUGUAAUGUAGUGUAGUUUUAUAUUUUUCUUCUUUUCCCUUAUUUGCUCCAGACACAGAUCCAUCCACUCUCUCUCAGCCCACUCCAUUGCUCUGUGAUUUCCCCUAGAUUGACAGAAAAGGAAUACCAAUAGAAAGUUGCCGGAAGAAUUUUGAUCUCUCCUUCUACCCUCCCCCCAUUUGAGAGUGAGAGCAAGCUCAAAAACUAAAGAAUGUUGGUGUUCUGUUUUACUUGAUACUGUACAUGCACAGAACUUUUUUUCCUUGAACCAACCAUGUGGAGUUUGUGUGUGUGCUUUUGAUUUUUAAAAUAGAAUAAGUGGCAUGUGUUGUUUGCAGUAGCCAAUUAUCCAGAAACAACAUUUGAAACUGUUAUCUUAGUAAGUUUUGAUUUGUGACCAGAUUUGGUCAGUCACUGUUGUGUAAAUCUGAAGAGACACAAAGAGUUUAGUCUAAGAGUUUAGAUACAAGAAAAUCUUAAUGUGAUUGGACAUCCAGCACUGCUCUGAUCUCAUCACUUCUCCUUUAAUUUUCUCUUCUUCCUUCUCUGCUCACUUCUCUUUUCCGCUCUGAUCUGGAUGUCCUAAAACAGGGAUAUGUUUUAUUAUCCAACAUUAUUGAAACAAAAUUUGAUAGAUCAGUGAGUUAUAAAACAGGUUCAUUACUUGACAUGUUGUGUAAAGCUGUUGUGCUGCACUAUAUUUUGUGUGUUUCAUAGGAUUUUUUGGAUUAAAAACAUUGAUCUGAUGAACCAUCUGAAUGUCUUUAUUGUGGGGGGUAAAUUUUACCUUCUCUGAAUAAGUAAUUGUUAUUAACUGAUAUUAAUUAACUUUGAUUUGAAGAGAUAAUUUUUACCUAAUUUUAAUGAGUAAGUAGCUGUUGAAUAUAUACAUAAAUGUGAGGUAUUGUUACCCAAUUUAUGCAAGCAUUUAAUAGCUUUUUACUUCAGAUAGUUUAUACUCAAUAUAUGGGAUUAAAUCUACCCCACCAAAGUCGAUGCAAAUUGUUACCUCACAUUUAUUGGGUAAAUUCUAUAGAUUAGUUUUUACAGUGAUCAUCAUUAUUUUAUAUUUAUUUUACACUAUAUAUUUAAUUAUGCAUUAUAUUUUUAUUUAUUUAAAUGUAUUUUACAUGUCAUACCCUUACAUUUAAACA
ensembl:lncRNA